rnacentral:rRNA from 1 species
GCACUCUUCGGCGGGCAGGCCAGCAUCAGUUUGGGCGGUUGGAUAAAGGUCUCUGUCACGUACCUCCUUUCGGGGAGGCCUUAUAGGGGAGGCGACAUGCAACCAGCCUGGACUGAGGUCUGCGCAUCUGCUAGGAUGCUGGCGUAAUGGCUGUAAGCGGCCCGUCUUGAAACACGGACCAAGGAGUCUAACAUCUAUGCGAGUGUUUGGGUGUCAAGCCCAAGCGCGCAAUGAAAGUGAACGGAGGUGGGAUCCCUUAAGGGUGCACCAUCGACCGAUCCUGAUGUCUUCGGAUGGAUUUGAGUAAGAGCAUGGCUGUUGGGACCCGAAAGAUGGUGAACUAUGCUUGAAUAGGGUGAAGCCAGAGGAAACUCUGGUGGAGGCUCGCAGCGGUUCUGACGUGCAAAUCGAUCGUCAAAUUUGGGCAUAGGGGCGAAAGACUAAUCGAACUAUCUAGUAGCUGGUUCCUGCCGAAGUUUCCCUCAGGAUAGCAGUAACGUUUUCAGUUUUAUGAGGUAAAGCGAAUGAUUAGAGGCAUGGGGGUUGAAACAACCUUCACCUAUUCUCAAACUUUAAAUAUGUAAGAAGUCCUUGUUACUUAAUUGAGCGUGGACACUUGAAUGUACCGUUACUAGUGGGCCAUUUUUGGUAAGCAGAACUGGCGAUGCGGGAUGAACCGAACGCGGGGUUAAGGUGCCAGAAUGCACGCUCAUCAGACACCACAAAAGGUGUUGGUUCAUCUAG